GAGUUUGAUCCUGGCUCAGGACGAACGCUGGCGGCGUGGAUGAGGCAUGCAAGCCGAACGAGAAGCCGGACUUCGGUCCGGUGGAAGUGGCGAAAGGGUGAGUAACGCGUGGGUAAUUUACCUCUGAGAUGGGGAUAACAACUCGAAAGGGUUGCUAAUACCAAAUAUGAUUCGGUUGACUUCGGUCGGCCGUAUGAAAGGUGGCUUCGGCUGCCGCUCGGAGAUAAGCCCGCGUCCCAUUAGCUUGUUGGUGAGGUAACGGCUCACCAAGGCUACGAUGGGUAGCUGGUCUGAGAGGAUGGUCAGCCACAUUGGGACUGAGACACUGCCCAAACUCCUACGGGAGGCUGCAGUCGAGAAUAUUUCGCAAUGGGGGAAACCCUGACGAUGCGACGCCGCGUGGGGGAUGAAGGCCCUCGGGUCGUAAACCUCUGUGUUACGGGAUGAAUUGAGCGUUGCUGAUAACGCAGCGUUUUUGACGUUACCGUAGUAGAAAGCCCCAGCUAACUACGUGCCAGCAGCAGCGGUAAUACGUAGGUGGCAAGCGUUGUCCGGAAUUACUGGGCGUAAAGGGUCCGUAGGCGGUUCGGUCAGUCUUCUGUGAAAGCUCCAGGCUCAACUUGGAGUCGUCGGGAGAAACUGCCGAACUAGAGACUGUCAGAGGCAGGUGGAAUUCCCGGUGUAGUGGUGAAAUACGUAGAUAUCGGGAGGAACACCAGUGGCGAAAGCGGCCUGCUGGGGCAGUUCUGACGCUAAGGGACUAAAGCGUGGGGAGCGAACCGGAUUAGAUACCCGGGUAGUCCACGCCCUAAACGAUGAAUGCUAGGUCUCCGGGGUGUUAAUUCCCUGUGGGCCAAAGGUAACCCAUUAAGCAUUCCGCCUGGGGACUACGGCCGCAAGGCUAAAACUCAAAGGAAUUGACGGGUCCCCGCACAAGCAGCGGAGCGUGUGGUUUAAUUCGAUGAUAAGCGAAGAACCUUACCUAGGCUUGACAUGUUUGGUGGUACCGAACCGAAAGGGGAGGGACCCUUCGGGGAGCCUUACACAGGUGUUGCAUGGCCGUCGUCAGCUCGUGCCGUGAGGUGUUGGGUUAAGUCCCGCAACGAGCGCAACCCCUAUCGUCUGUUACUCUCUCUGACGAGACAGUCCUUAAACGGAAGGAAGGUGGGGACGACGUCAGGUCAUCAUGACCCUUACGCCUAGGGCUACACACACGCUACAAUGGCCGGUACAGACGGCUGCGAAACCGUAAGGUAGAGCCAAUCCGACAAAGCCGGUCUCAGUUGGGAUUGAAGGCUGAAACCCGCCUUCAUGAACGUGGAGUUGCUAGUAACCGCAGGUCAGCAUACUGCGGUGAAUACGUUCCCGGGGAUUGUACACACCGCCCGUA
rnacentral:rRNA from 1 species